rnacentral:rRNA from 1 species
GGGCUAACGGUCGUGAUCGGAAUGCAGUCGACGGUGAAGCAGAGCUUGCUCUGUGGAUCAGUGGCGAACGGGUGAGUAACACGUGAGCAACCUGCCCCUGACUCUGGGAUAAGCGCUGGAAACGGCGUCUAAUACUGGAUAUGUGACGUGACCGCAUGGUCUGCGUCUGGAAAGAAUUUCGGUUGGGGAUGGGCUCGCGGCCUAUCAGCUUGUUGGUGAGGUAAUGGCUCACCAAGGCGUCGACGGGUAGCCGGCCUGAGAGGGUGACCGGCCACACUGGGACUGAGACACGGCCCAGACUCCUACGGGAGGCAGCAGUGGGGAAUAUUGCACAAUGGGCGGAAGCCUGAUGCAGCAACGCCGCGUGAGGGAUGACGGCCUUCGGGUUGUAAACCUCUUUUAGCAGGGAAGAAGCGAAAGUGACGGUACCUGCAGAAAAAGCGCCGGCUAACUACGUGCCAGCAGCCGCGGUAAUACGUAGGGCGCAAGCGUUAUCCGGAAUUAUUGGGCGUAAAGAGCUCGUAGGCGGUUUGUCGCGUCUGCUGUGAAAUCCGGAGGCUCAACCUCCGGCCUGCAGUGGGUACGGGCAGACUAGAGUGCGGUAGGGGAGAUUGGAAUUCCUGGUGUAGCGGUGGAAUGCGCAGAUAUCAGGAGGAACACCGAUGGCGAAGGCAGAUCUCUGGGCCGUAACUGACGCUGAGGAGCGAAAGGGUGGGGAGCAAACAGGCUUAGAUACCCUGGUAGUCCACCCCGUAAACGUUGGGAACUAGUUGUGGGGUCCAUUCCACGGAUUCCGUGAC